rnacentral:rRNA from 1 species
AUUGAACGCUGGCGGCAGGCCUAACACAUGCAAGUCGAGCGGAUGAAGGGAGCUUGCUCCUGGAUUCAGCGGCGGACGGGUGAGUAAUGCCUAGGAAUCUGCCUGGUAGUGGGGGAUAACGUCCGGAAACGGGCGCUAAUACCGCAUACGUCCUGAGGGAGAAAGUGGGGGAUCUUCGGACCUCUCGCUAUCAGAUGAGCCUAGGUCGGAUUAGCUAGUUGGUGGGGUAAAGGCCUACCAAGGCGACGAUCCGUAACUGGUCUGAGAGGAUGAUCAGUCACACUGGAACUGAGACACGGUCCAAACUCCUACGGGAGGCAGCAGUGGGCAAUAUUGGACAAUGGGCGAUAGCCUGAACCAGCCAUGCCGCGUGUGUGAAGAAGGUCUACGGAUUGUAAAGCACUUUAAGUUGGGAGGAAGGGCAGUAAGUUAAUACCUUGCUGUUUUGACGUUACCAACAGAAGAAGCACCGGCUAACUUCGU